rnacentral:rRNA from 1 species
UACGUAGGGGGCAAGCGUUGUCCGGAAUCAUUGGGCGUAAAGCGCGUGUAGGCGGCCCGGUAAGUCCGCUGUGAAAGUCGGGGGCUCAACCCUCGAAUGCCGGUGGAUACUGUCGGGCUCGAGUCCGGAAGAGGCGAGUGGAAUUCCUGGUGUAGCGGUGAAAUGCGCAGAUAUCAGGAGGAACACCAAUGGCGAAGGCAGCUCGCUGGGACGUGACUGACGCUGAGACGCGAAAGCGUGGGGAGCGAACAGG